rnacentral:misc_RNA from 1 species
UGUGGGAGGGGGCUUGCCCCCGAUAGCGGUGUGUCAGUCUCAGUAUUUUUAACUGAUCCACCACUAUCGGGAGCAAGCCCCCUCCCACA